UACAGAGGGUGCGAGCGUUAAUCGGAAUUACUGGGCGUAAAGCGCGGGCAGGCGGUCUGACAAGUCUGAUGUGAAAUCUCCGGGCUUAACCGGGAGAGGCCAUUGGAAACUGACAGGCUGGAGGGCAGUAGAGGUAGGCGGAAUUCCGGGUGGAGUGGUGAAAUGCGUAGAGAUCCGGAGGAACACCAGAGGCGAAGGCGGCCUACUGGGCUGCACCUGACGCUGAGCCGCGAAAGCCAGGGGAGCGAACGGG
rnacentral:rRNA from 1 species